AUCCUCCAGAUUGCUUACCUGUCCGAGCUUAACAUUGGUCUGCGUAGUUAUAAAAGUCGGAAAACUGAAAUGGAAACUGAUGUCAUAUUUUUUUGUCCCGUACAAGCUAGUUUCAAAUGAAC
rnacentral:snoRNA from 1 species